rnacentral:rRNA from 1 species
AUUGAACGCGGGCGGCAGGCCUAACACAUGCAAGUCGAACGGUAGCACAGAGAGCUUGCUCUCGGGUGACGAGUGGCGGACGGGUGAGUAACGUCUGGGAAACUGCCCGAUGGAGGGGGAUAACUACUGGAAACGGUAGCUAAUACCGCAUAACGUCGCAAGACCAAAGUGGGGGACCUUCGGGCCUCACACCAUCGGAUGUGCCCAGAUGGGAUUAGCUAGUAGGUGGGGUAAUGGCUCACCUAGGCGACGAUCCCUAGCUGGUCUGAGAGGAUGACCAGCCACACUGGAACUGAGACACGGUCCAGACUCCUUCGGGAGGCAGCAGUGGGGAAUAUUGCACAAUGGGCGCAAGCCUGAUGCAGCCAUGCCGCGUGUAUGAAGAAGGCCUUCGGGUUGUAAAGUACUUUCAGCGGGGAGGAAGGCGGUGAAGUUAAUAACUUCACCGAUUGACGUUACCCGCAGAAGAAGCACCGGCUAACUCCGUGCCAGCCGCCGCAGUAA